rnacentral:rRNA from 1 species
UACGUAGGGGGCAAGCGUUGUCCGGAUUCAUUGGGCGUAAAGAGCGUGUAGGCGGCCAGGUAGGUCGGUUGUGAAAACUGGAGGCUCAACCUUCAGAGGUCGACCGAAACCAUCUGGCUAGAGUCCGGGAGAGGAGAGUGGAAUUCCUGGUGUAGCGGUGAAAUGCGCAGAUAUCAGGAAGAACACCCGUGGCUAAGGCGGCUCUCUGGGACGGUACUGACGCUGAGACGCGAAAGCGUGGGGAGCGAACAGG